rnacentral:rRNA from 1 species
AUGGUACUGUAUAGAAGGGGCCAUAAACUGGAGAGUCUUGACCAAUUCAAAAGAUCAUUUGGUGUAGUUGAAAUAACAGAAUUGGAACUUGUUUGGUCAAGUCGCCUAUUCCAUUUCAUGUUCCAUUUUAGGUCCAUGAAUUUUGGAAGAGGUCCCUCCAUGCCUCUUUAG